CACCUCGAGCAUUACUAGUAUUUGAGGCACUGCCUGCCCAGUGACCAAGUGUUAAACGGCCGCGGUACUCUGACCGUGCAAAGGUAGCAUAAUCAUUUGUUCCUUAAUUGGGGACUUGUAUGAAUGGCCACACGAGGGUUCAACUGUCUCUUUCUUCUAAUCAAUGAAAUUGACCUUCUCAUGAAGAGGCGAGAAUAAACAUAUAAGACGAGAAGACCCUAUGGAGCUUAAAUUAACUAAUUUAAUUGCUACCCUAUAAAUCUACAAGAUACAGCCAAGUAGUAUAAUAAAUGAACAAUUUUGGUUGGGGUGACCUCGGAGAAGAAAAAAACCUCCGAAUGAUAUUCUAAUUUAGACUCUACAAGUCAAAAUUUACUAAUCACUUAUUGACCCAAUACUUGAUCAACGGAACAAGUUACCCUAGGGAUAACAGCGCAAUCCUACUCUAGAGUCCCUAUCGACAGCAGGGUUUACGACCUCGAUGUUGGAUCAGGACAUCCUAAUGGUGCAGCCGCUAUUAAGGGUUCGUUUGUUCAACGAUUAAAGCCCU
rnacentral:rRNA from 1 species